rnacentral:rRNA from 1 species
AUGAACGCUGGCGGCGUGCCUAAUACCUGCAAGUCGCGCGAACGGACGAGAAGCUUGCUUCUCUGAUGUUAGCGGCGGACGGGUGAGUAACACGUGGAUAACCUACCUAUAAGACUGGGAUAACUUCGGGAAACCGGAGCUAAUACCGGAUGAUAUUUUGAACCGCAUGGUUCAAAAGUGAAAGACGGUCUUGCUGUCACUUAUAGAUGGAUCCGCGCUGCAUUAGCUAGUUGGUAAGGUAACGGCUUACCAAGGCAACGAUGCAUAGCCGACCUGAGAGGGUGAUCGGCCACACUGGAACUGAGACACGGUCCAGACUCCUACGGGAGGCAGCAGUAGGGAAUCUUCCGCAAAGGGCGAAAGCCUGACGGAGCAACGCCGCGUGAGUGAUGAAGGUCUUCGGAUCGUAAAACUCUGUUAUUAGGGAAGAACAUAUGUGUAAGUAACUGUGCACAUCUUGACGGUACCUAAUCAGAAAGCCACGGCUAACUACGUG